GCUCCCCCCCGCAGGUGGUGUAGUCCAGGUGAUUCAAUCUUUUACCGGGAUGGUAUAUAAAGGUAAGUGGUGUGAGGUGUUCGUCGUUGUUGUUGCUCUUCUGUUCCGUUGCCGCCCACAGCGACACUGUGUAAUGGCCCACGUGGGCACUUUGAGAGAACUAACGUUAAGCUGAGCCUCCCCGUUCCUCCUUAACCACAGGCCACCAUGACAGUGCGUUAACUAACGUCAAGCACACACGGAGCACCACAUUAGCAUCCAUUUCGGAGCCGUGUUUCUGCCCACGUCACCAACUGAGCCGCAGGCCUUGAGCUGCCAGCGGAGGAACGUGAAGUCAAGCCAGGGAGCCAAGGCCACCGUCGGCCCCUCAGUGUUUAGAAUAACCCCCGUAAAAAAUUUUUUUUUAAAAAAACCUCCUGGGAACCGGAUUGGAAUCGCACCACAGCUGGCAAAGGAGAAUAUGUGAGAGCAUGCCGUCAUCGGCGGCCACCGCAGGUAUACGGGAUCCAUGGCAGCGAGGACCAGCAGGACUCCGGGAGGGAAUUUGCGAGGACGAGGCUUUAAUGAGAGAAGAGGCCUCGUCCGGCGGGCGAGUAAUGUAUG